GCCUGGGUGGCUCAGCGGUUGAGCAUCUGCCUUUGGCCCAGGAGUGAUCCUGGAGUUUGAGGAUCUAGUCCCACCUCAGGCU
rnacentral:tRNA from 1 species